GUACCAGACUCCUACGGGAGGCAGCAGUGGGGAAUAUUGCACAAUGGGGGAAACCCUGAUGCAGCGACGCCGCGUGAGCGAUGAAGUCUUUCGGUAUGUAAAGCUCUAUCAGCAGGGAAGAAAAUGACGGUACCUGACUAAGAAGCCCCGGCUAACUACGUGCCAGCAGCCGCGGUAAUACGUAGGGGGCAAGCGUUAUCCGGAUUUACUGGGUGUAAAGGGAGCGUAGACGGCUGUGCAAGCCAGAUGUGAAAGCCCGGGGCUCAACCCCGGGACUGCAUUUGGAACUGUGUGGCUGGAGUGUCGGAGAGGCAGGCGGAAUUCCUAGUGUAGCGGUGAAAUGCGUAGAUAUUAGGAGGAACACCAGUGGCGAAGGCGGCCUGCUGGACGAUGACUGACGUUGAGGCUCGAAAGCGUGGGGAGCAAACAGGAUUAGAUCCCCCAGUA
rnacentral:rRNA from 1 species